rnacentral:tRNA from 1 species
GCCCGGGUGGUGGAAUGGCAUACACGAACGACUCAAAAUCGUUUGCCGCAAGGCUUGUGGGUUCAAGUCCCACCCCGGGCA